rnacentral:misc_RNA from 1 species
GAUGAAGAACGCAGCGAAAUGCGAUAAGUAAUGUGAAUUGUAGAAUUCAGUGAAUCAUCGAAUCUUUGAACGCACAUUGCGCCCCUUGGUAUUCCGAGGGGCAUGCCUGUUCGAGCGUCAUUACACCACUCAAGCUAUGCUUGGUAUUGGGCGUCGUCCUUAGUUGGGCGCGCCUUAAAGACCUCGGCGAGGCCACUCCGGCUUUAGGCGUAGUAGAAUUUAUUCGAACGUCUGUCAAAGGAGAGGAACUCUGCCGACUGAAACCUUUAUUUUUCUAGGUUGACCUCGGAUCAGGUAGGGAUACCCGCUGAACUUAAGCAUAUCAAUAAGCGGAGGA